UGGGGAAUAUUGCACAAUGGGCGCAAGCCUGAUGCAGCCAUGCCGCGUGUGUGAAGAAGGCCUUCGGGUUGUAAAGCACUUUUGUCCGGAAAGAAAUCCUUGGCUCUAAUACAGUCGGGGGAUGACGGUACCGGAAGAAUAAGCACCGGCUAACUACGCGCCAGCAGCCGCGGUAAUACGUAGGGUGCAAGCGUUAAUCGGAAUUACUGGGCGUAAAGCGUGCGCAGGCGGUUUGCUAAGACCGAUGUGAAAUCCCCGGGCUCAACCUGGGAACUGCAUUGGUGACUGGCAGGCUAGAGUAUGGCAGAGGGGGGUAGAAUUCCACGUGUAGCAGUGAAAUGCGUAGAGAUGUGGAGGAAUACCGAUGGCGAAGGCAGCCCCCUGGGCCAAUACUGACGCUCAUGCACGAAAGCGUGGGGAGCAAACAGGAUUAGAUACCCUGGUAGUCCACGCCCUAAACGAUGUCAACUAGUUGUUGGGGAUUCAUUUUCCUUAGUAACGUAGCUAACGCGUG
rnacentral:rRNA from 1 species